GUUAGUGAUGAGGGGAUCGAUGGAGGGAAAUGUGACGACGGAAGAGACGACCUGAUA
rnacentral:sRNA from 1 species